ACAUGCAAGUCGAACGAGAAACUACCUUCGGGUAGUGGAAAGUGGCAAACGGGUGAGUAACACGUGGGAAUGUACCUUAAGGUUCGGGACAACAGUUGGAAACGGCUGCUAAUACCGAAUGUGCUCGAUAGAGAAAAGAUUUAUCGCCUUAAGAUCAGCCCGCGUUGGAUUAGCUAGUUGGUGAGGUAAUGGCUCACCAAGGCUACGAUCUAUAGCAGGUUUGAGAGGAUGAUCUGCCACACUGGGACUGAGAUACGGCCCAGACUCC
rnacentral:rRNA from 1 species